rnacentral:rRNA from 1 species
AUUGAACGCUGGCGGAAUGCUUUACACAUGCAAGUCGAACGGUAGAGGGGCAACCCUUGAGAGUGGCGAACGGGUGAGUAAUGUAUCGGAACAUGCCCAGUCGUGGGGGAUAACGUAGCGAAAGUUACGCUAAUACCGCAUACGAUCUAUGGAUGAAAGCGGGGGAUCGCAAGACCUCGCGCGAUUGGAGUGGCCGAUAUCAGAUUAGGUAGUUGGUGGGGUAAAGGCCUACCAAGCCGACGAUCUGUAGCUGGUCUGAGAGGACGACCAGCCACACUGGGACUGAGACACGGCCCAGACUCCUACGGGAGGCAGCAGUGGGGAAUUUUGGACAAUGGGCGCAAGCCUGAUCCAGCCAUUCCGCGUGCAGGAAGAAGGCCUUCGGGUUGUAAACUGCUUUUGUACGGAACGAAACGCGCUGAGCUAAUACCUCGGCGUAAUGACGGUACCGUAAGAAUAAGCACCGGCUAACUACGUGCCAGCCGCCGCGGUAAUAC